rnacentral:rRNA from 1 species
GAGGAGGCAGCAGUGAGGAAUUUUGCGCAAUGGGGGAAACCCUGACGCAGCGACGCCGCGUGGAGGAUGAAGUAUUUCGGUAUGUAAACUCCUGUCAGUGGGGAUGAUGAUGACAGUACCCACAGAGGAAGCACCGGCUAACUCCGUGCCAGCAGCCGCGGUAAGGCGGAGGGUGCAAGCGUUGUUCGGAAUUACUGGGCGUAAAGCGUACGUAGGCGGCGGAUUAAGUCGAAUGUUAAAGCCUGAGGCUCAACCUCAGAGAUGCAUUCGAUACUGGUCUGCUAGAGGGUGAUAGAGGAAAGUGGAAUUCCCAGUGUAGCGGUGAAAUGCGUAGAUAUUGGGAGGAACAUCAGUAGCGAAGGCGACUUUCUGGGUCACACCUGACGCUGAGGUACGAAAGCGUGGGGAGCAAACGGGAUUAGAUACCCCGGUAGC